UACGUAGGGUGCAAGCGUUAAUCGGAAUUACUGGGCGUAAAGCGUGCGCAGGCGGGUAUGUAAGACAGAUGUGAAAUGCCCGGGCUUAACCUGGGAACUGCAUUUGUGACUGCAUGGCUAGAGUUUGGCAGAGGGGGGUAGAAUUCCACGUGUAGCAGUGAAAUGCGUAGAUAUGUGGAGGAACACCGAUGGCGAAGGCAGCCCCCUGGGUCAAGACUGACGCUCAUGCACGAAAGCGUGGGGAGCAAACAGG
rnacentral:rRNA from 1 species